AAGUCAUGUCUGGCUGCUUUGUAUCUAAUGCUAAUUGAUUUUUUUUAUCCUGAGAUCUGCAGCGGUAACUAAUUCUGAUGGCAUUAUUAACCAGGCUGACCCACUUCUUUUUCGCAUCUGGGAUGGACAGGAGCAUCUGACAGUAUGGAAUUUAACUUAGGGACCAGUUUGACAAGAACCCAGGGAAUAAAGUGAGAAAAGCCAUCACUAAUCUUCAUCUUUCGGGUGCUGCUUCUGCAUUUUCUUUUUCUCUCUCCUAAUGUCAGCACACUGUCCAUACUGUCUCCUAUUCCUGUUUCUGAUCCCACAGGAUGUAGCUCAGAGAAGCUGAGCUUUCUUUCGUAGGACAGGUGGGAGGGGGCGGGGUUUCCUCUAAAAGUACCAUGAUGCAUUGCCAAUCAGACAUGCCCAUACUGUGAUGAGAUGGGCUGGAGGCCUAUGAUUGUCAAGGUUAUUUUUUUUAACCUACCUUGAUAUGUUCCUCCAGCCUUUCUAUUUUCUUUCAUUUCAACAUUUUUUUUUUCCUGUGCACCAUAUGAAGAAGCAAGACACCUCCAAUACUGCUGGCUCCUUUUCUCUUUUCCUUCUCUCUUAUUUUCACCUCCUUUUCUCUUUUCCUUCCUCUCUCUCUCUCUCUCUCUCUCCCUCUCUCUCUCUCUCUCUCUCUCUGCUCUCAUCCUUAAACUCUCAAAUGCUGAUUCAGCUGCUGGUACACAGACGAUCCUGCUGCCAUCCCCAUCCAGUACGGCCUUUCUCGAUAGGACUGUGUCCGUGAGCUCCAGCACUACUGUCCCAUUCAUCCCAGAAUGCUUUGCUAAAGCUGGUAAAAUGGAACCAAAUCAACUGUUCAAUGGAUUUGGUCCCCUUCAACCAGCUGUAGCUGUGCAUUGAUCACCCCAGAGGGCAGUGAGAUAGACAGAGAAGAUCUGGGAGCACACAAGCACAUACUAACACUCUACAGGAUUCACCUUAUGAUCAUGUCUGACAGGAUCUGAGCAUCCAAGGAGCUGAUGUAUGGAUUUGCUGAUUCACCUAGAACACCAGCCGGAUGCAUUUCACCCCACACUUUAUGAUUUCUAAUACGGUAACAUGAAUAAACAAUUUGAGGUUCUUGAAACUGAGGUGAGCAUUAACUAUGGUAAUAGUACUGAUAAUAUCCGAUUAUGAAUCCAGCCCUGAUUGCAGCCACUGGGAUAUGAGCUUGCUGAGCUUUAUGACUGCCCAUUGAUUUCAUGUCUUGAUGGUGAAAGAGAGAGAUGUGGAGGGACAGGAUGGGAGAGAGGGCUGCAUGUCAAGCUGUUGAAUAAGUAAAGCAAUCAUUCCUUUUCUCCUCUUUUCCCCCCUCACACUUGUCAUGAUCCUUAAUGCACAUUUCUGAUCAAUAAAAGCUCAUCCUGAGGUCCAUAAA